UGUUCAGGGGGAAAGCAGUGUCUGCAUUUUUCUUUACAAACUUAAACAUUUACUGUAUAAACUGAAACAUGCUUGACUGUUUAGCUUUCCUGUGACUCACUGAAAUAAUAUUAAGUUGUACAAUCACUGUUUGUGAGAACUGCUUCACAUCUGAG